CCAAUAGCGUAUAUUAAAGUUGUUGCAGUUAAAAAGCUCGUAGUUGAAUUUUAGGCCUGGCCAGGCGGUCCGUCUUUGGCGAGUACUGUCUUGUUGUCGGGUCUUCCUUCUGGUGAACCAGUAUGCCCUUUAUUGGGUGUGUUGGGGAGCCAGGACCAUUACCUUGAAAAAAUUAGAGUGUUUAAAGCGGGCUAUUGCUUGAAUAGAUUAGCAUGGAAUAAUAGAAUAGGACGUUGUGGUUCUAUUUUGUUGGUUUCUAGGACCACCGUAAUGAGUAAUAGGGUUAGUUGGGGGCAUUAGUAUUCAAUUGUCAGAGGUGGAAUUCUUGGAUUUAUUGAAGACUAACUAUUGCGAAAGCAUUUGCCAAGGAUGUUUUCAUUAAUCAAGAACGAAAGUUAGGGGAUCGAAGACGAUCAGAUACCGUCGUAGUCUUAACCAUAAACUAUGCCGACUAGGAAUCGGGCGACGUUAUUUUAAUGACUCGCUCGGCGCCUUAUG
rnacentral:rRNA from 1 species